rnacentral:rRNA from 1 species
AGAGUUUGAUCCUGGCUCAGGACGAACGCUGGCGGCGUGCCUAAUACAUGCAAGUAGAACGCUGAAGGAGGAGCUUGCUCUCUCCGGAUGAGUUGCGAACGGGUGAGUAACGCGUAGGUAACCUGCCUGGUAGUGGGGGAUAACUAUUGGAAACGAUAGCUAAUACCGCAUAACAGUAGAUGUUGCAUGACAUUUGCUUAAAAGGUGCAAUUGCAUCACUACCAGAUGGACCUGCGUUGUAUUAGCUAGUUGGUGGGGUAACGGCUCACCAAGGCGACGAUACAUAGCCGACCUGAGAGGGUGAUCGGCCACACUGGGACUGAGACACGGCCCAGACUCCUACGGGAGGCAGCAGUAGGGAAUCUUCGGCAAUGGACGGAAGUCUGACCGAGCAACGCCGCGUGAGUGAAGAAGGUUUUCGGAUCGUAAAGCUCUGUUGUAAGAGAAGAACGAGUGUGAGAGUGGAAAGUUCACACUGUGACGGUAUCUUACCAGAAAGGGACGGCUAACUACGUGCCAGCAGCCGCGGUAAU